AGUGUGCCUAUGAUGAAAUGUUUCGACCUGUGUCAGGAUUUGAACAACUGGGCAUGUAAAUCUCAGUAGGUUUUUUUUUGCUGAGGCAUAUU
rfam:Oryza rufipogon genomic scaffold, chr10